rnacentral:rRNA from 1 species
CAGCCGCCGCGGUAAUACGGAGGGUGCAAGCGUUACUCGGAAUCACUGGGCGUAAAGGACGCGUAGGCGGAUUAUCAAGUCUCUUGUGAAAUCUAACGGCUUAACCGUUAAACUGCUUGGGAAACUGAUAAUCUAGAGUAAGGGAGAGGCAGAUGGAAUUCUUGGUGUAGGGGUAAAAUCCGUAGAUAUCAAGAAGAAUACCUAUUGCGAAGGCGAUCUGCUGGAACUUAACUGACGCUAAUGCGUGAAAGCGUGGGGAGCAAACAGGAUUAGAUACCCCCGUAGUCCCUGUCUCUUAUAC